AGCGGCCCGCUGCAGGGGGCGGGGCCAGGAAUGCUCUGGCCUCACCCAAGUUCGAAGGGCCAAUCCGGGCCUCGCUCUGUUUCUGCGCUGAUGUCACAAGUGACAAUGCUCUUUGGCUCUGACCAUGCCAGCAGGCUUCACGGUUCCCGUUUUCUAAAGAGGAACACAGAUUCAGCGAGCGGCUGCUGGCUUGUGAUCUAUUUUGAUGUCAGGGCUUGGCACGUAGGAGGUGUUCAAUGUUGAUCGAUCCAAGGUCAUGCACAUAGGGUCUAAGACGGAAGAGAACUUCCUGCCCCUCUUGGAGCUUCUAUUUUAGAGGGAGACACGGCCAGACAGGUCUCGAACUCCUGGCCUCAAGUGAUCCGCACACCUUGGCCUUCCAAAGUGCUGGGAUUCCAGGCGUGAGCCACCGCGCCUGGCCUGAUAUGUAAAGAAUGAGCCUGGUGACUUUACCAUUUUCCACCUCUAAGAGCCAGUCGCAAAGGAGGCUGGCUGGCAUCUUGUGUCUGUCUAGCAUCUCUGCCAGUUUCUGUAGAAAACCCUCAAGCUGUGCCAAGAUGAUCGUCUGUGGACACAGCUCUUGGUGUCACGGGGUGUCUCCUCCUACUGCCUAUCGCCCUUUGCAGCCACUGGAAUAAUCAUGCAGGAGCCAGGGCCCCCCAUAUUAUCUACCGCUGUCCAUCUGCUCUCCAGCACGUCAGAGCAGCCCUUCCCCUGUGUGAGAUUCCUCUCCAGGGCAAGACUGAAGGGAGCAUCAAGGUUGCAGUGGAAGACAUGAAUUGGAAGUGGAGCUGGGCAGUUAUUUAUUUAAAUAGAGACAAGGCUGAAUGCGGUGGCUCACGCCUGUAAUCCCAGCACUUUAGGAGGCUGAGGUGGGUAGACCACCUGAGGUCAGGAGUUCGAGACCAGCCUGGUCAACAUGGCGAAAUCCCGUCUCUACUAAAACUACAAAAAUUAGCUGGGCGCGGUGACACGCACCUGUAGUCCCAGCUACUCAGGAGGCUGAGGCACAAGAAUUGCUUGAACCUGGAAGGCCAAGAUUGCAGUGAGCCAAGAUUGCACUACUGCACUCCAGCCUGGGCGACAGAGCCAGACUCCAUCUCAAAAAAAAUAUAAAUAAAAAGUAAAUAAAUAGAGACAAAGUCUCACUGUGUUGCCCAGGCUGGUCUCGAACUCCUGGGCUGAAGCAAUCUGCCUGCCUUGGCCUCCCAGAGAGCUGGGGUUACAGAUGUGAGGCACGGUGCCAGUCUAGAUCUGGGCAGUGUUUAGGAGGCGGGCUCUAGAGCCAGGCUGCAGGGCUUCAAAUCCAGCUGAGUGUCCUAAGUUGUUUGUCAACCUCUCUGAGCCUGUACGUCUCUGUAAAAAGGAGGGAUGCUGGUGAUGAUAAUAGUACCUACUUUAUGGGGGUUAUUGUGCGAAUUAAUGGCUGAAGAAUGGUUGAAAUAGCAAGAGUCAAAAACAUGAUCAAUAUGGAAAGCCUAGCAGGAGAAAGUAAUAAAGUUCAUUGAAGGGGAGAUGGGGAGGGGGACAG